rfam:Schistosoma haematobium scaffold9_9, whole genome shotgun sequence.
ACCUAGUUGAAGAGAUCCAAAUAAGACGAAACACGCGUCCUGGAU